CCGGCGAUUUCCGAAUGGGGAAACCCAGUGUGUUUCGACACACUAUCAUUAACUGAAUCCAUAGGUUAAUGAGGCGAACCGGGGGAACUGAAACAUCUAAGUACCCCGAGGAAAAGAAAUCAACCGAGAUUCCCCCAGUAGCGGCGAGCGAACGGGGAGGAGCCCAGAGCCUGAAUCAGUGUGUGUGUUAGUGGAAGCGUCUGGAAAGGCGCGCGAUACAGGGUGACAGCCCCGUACACAAAAAUGCACAUACUGUGAGCUCGAUGAGUAGGGCGGGACACGUGGUAUCCUGUCUGAAUAUGGGGGGACCAUCCUCCAAGGCUAAAUACUCCUGACUGACCGAUAGUGAACCAGUACCGUGAGGGAAAGGCGAAAAGAACCCCGGCGAGGGGAGUGAAAAAGAACCUGAAACCGUGUACGUACAAGCAGUGGGAGCCUC
rnacentral:rRNA from 1 species